CCUACGGGUGGCAGCAGUGAGGAAUAUUGGUCAAUGGGCGCGAGCCUGAACCAGCCAAGUAGCGUGAAGGAUGACUGCCCUACGGGUUGUAAACUUCUUUUAUAAAGGAAUAAAGUGCGGCACGUGUGCCUUUUUGUGUGUACUUUAUGAAUAAGGAUCGGCUAACUCCGUGCCAGCAGCCGCGGUAAUACGGGGGAUCCGAGCGUUAUCCGGAUUUAUUGGGUUUAUAGGGUGCGUAGGCGGAAUGCCAAGUCAGCGGUAAAAUUGCGGGGCUCAACCUCGCCCAGCCGUUGAAACUGGCUUUCUUGAGUGGGCGAGAAGUAUGCGGAAUGCGUGGUGUAGCGGUGAAAUGCAUAGAUAUCACGCAGAACUCCGAUUGCGAAGGCAGCAUACCGGCGCCCAACUGACGCUGAAGCACGAAAGCGUGGGUAUCGAACAGGAUUAGAUACCCUAGUAGUC
rnacentral:rRNA from 1 species